rnacentral:rRNA from 1 species
UGCAUAUCCAAAAAGCGGAGGAAAAGAAACUAACAAGGAUUCCCCUAGUAACUGCGAGUGAAGCGGGAAAAGCUCAAAUUUAAAAUCUGGUAGUCUCUGGCUGCCCGAGUUGUAAUCUAGAGAAGCGUUAUCCGCGCUGGACCGUGUAUAAGUCUCCUGGAAUGGAGCGUCAUAGAGGGUGAGAAUCCCGUCUUUGACACGGACUACCAGGGCUUUGUGAUGCGCUCUCAAAGAGUCGAGUUGUUUGGGAAUGCAGCUCUAAAUGGGUGGUAAAUUCCAUCUAAAGCUAAAUAUUGGCGAGAGACCGAUAGCGAACAAGUACCGUGAGGGAAAGAUGAAAAGAACUUUGGAAAGAGAGUUAAACAGUACGUGAAAUUGUUGAAAGGGAAACGCUUGAAGUCAGUCGCGUUGGCUAGGAAUCAGCCUUGCUUUUGCUUGGUGUACUUCCUGGUUGACGGGUCAGCAUCAAUUUUGACCGGUGGAAAAAGGCCAGAGGAAUGUGGCAUCUUCGGAUGUGUUAUAGCUUCUGGUUGUAUACAUCGGUUGGGAUUGAGGAACUCAGCACGCCGCAAGGUCGGGGUUCGCCCACGUUCGUGCUUAGGAUGCUGGCAUAAUGGCUUUAAUCGACCCGUCUUGAAACACGGACAAAAGGGAGUCA